rnacentral:lncRNA from 1 species
AAAUCAGUAAGGACUAAGAGGAAACACUUUUGCUUUGAAUUGUGAAGGGGUCCGACGAUGUCCAUGGCCCAGCGCCUGAAGGGAUAUGGUGAUGUGAGGGAAGAAAGAACUUCUGCUGGUUGUCGGAUGGUCGGAGCAUGCCUUUGACAUUUUUCGUAUUUUCAUGCGAAUUUCUCACAAUCUCCGAUCAUUGUCGGUCAGUAGUAUCCGUGGCGUUUGAUUUUCACUGCAAGUGACCUUCUAUCGGAAUGGUUUCCGCAGGAUCUAGAAUGGACUUCUUACAUGACUUUUCUCGCCUUUUCUCCUUCCAAACACGUCAUGAGCGGUCCGGAAAAUUUCCACUUCUAAAUUUCCCCGUCGACCGUCACGUAACGCGCGGCUUGGUUUCAGAUUUUGCAGGCUGCCUAUUUUUCGGGGGGUAAUUUUCCGUCAAUGAUGUAGGCUCGAAUCGUUUCCAGCCAUGGCGUAUCACAGCCGUAGUCGGAUUGUUCUGAUCUCUCUUCU